rnacentral:rRNA from 1 species
AGCGAACGCUGGCGGCAGGCUUAACACAUGCAAGUCGAACGCCCCGCAAGGGGAGUGGCAGACGGGUGAGUAACACGUGGGAACGUACCCUUUGGUUCGGAAUAACUUGGGGAAACUCAAGCUAAUACCGGAUAAGCCCUUAUGGGGAAAGGUUUACUGCCGAAGGAUCGGCCCGCGUCUGAUUAGCUAGUUGGUGAGGUAAUGGCUCACCAAGGCGACGAUCAGUAGCUGGUCGGGGAGGAUGAUCAGCCACACUGGGACUGAGACACGGCCCAGACUCCUACGGGAGGCAGCAGUGGGGAAUAUGGAACAAGGGGGGCAACCCUGAUCCAGCCAUGCCGCGUGAGUGAUGAAGGCCUUAGGUUUGAAAAGCUCUUUUACCCGGGACGAUAAUGCCUGUACCGGGAGAAUAAGCCCCGGCUAACUUCGUGCCAGCAGCCGCCGUAA